rnacentral:rRNA from 1 species
GGAGGGUGCGAGCGUUAAUCGGAAUUACUGGGCGUAAAGCGCGCGUAGGUGGUUUGAUAAGUCAGCUGUGAAAGCCCUGGGCUCAACCUGGGAACUGCAGUUGAAACUGUCUGGCUAGAGUAAUAUGGAGGGGUGCGGAAUUUCCUGUGUAGCGGUGAAAUGCGUAGAUAUAGGAAGGAACAUCAGUGGCGAAGGCGGCCACCUGGACUAAUACUGACACUGAGGUGGGAAACGGUGGGGAGCAAACAGGAUUAGAUACCCUGUAGUCCACGCCGUAAACGAUGUCUACCUAGCCGUUGGAGACUUGAUCUCUUAGUGGCGACGUAACGCGAUAAGUAGACCGCCUGGAGUACGGCCGCAAGUUAAAACUCAAAUGAAUUGACGGGGCCGCACAAGGCUGAGCAUGUGGUUUAAUUCGACGCAACCGCAAGAACCCUUA